rnacentral:rRNA from 1 species
UAUCAUUAACGUUAUACGGGCCUGGCACCCUCUAUGGGUAAAUGGCCUCAUUUAAGAAGGACUUAAAUCAUUAAUUUCUCAUACUAGAAUAUUGAUGCUCCAUACACUGCAUCUCACAUUUGCCAAAAGACAAAGUACUUAGGC